GAGGAAUAUUGGACAAUGGGUGAGAGCCUGAUCCAGCCAUCCCGCGUGAAGGACGACGGCCCUAUGGGUUGUAAACUUCUUUUGUACAGGGAUAAACCUUUCCACGUGUGGGAAGCUGAAGGUACUGUACGAAUAAGCACCGGCUAACUCCGUGCCAGCAGCCGCGGUAAUACGGAGGGUGCAAGCGUUAUCCGGAUUUAUUGGGUUUAAAGGGUCCGUAGGCGGACUCGUAAGUCAGUGGUGAAAUCUCACAGCUUAACUGUGAAACUGCCAUUGAUACUGCGGGUCUUGAGUGUUGUUGAAGUAGCUGGAAUAAGUAGUGUAGCGGUGAAAUGCAUAGAUAUUACUUAGAACACCAAUUGCGAAGGCAGGUUACUAAGCAACAACUGACGCUGAUGGACGAAAGCGUGGGGAGCGAACAGGAUUAGAUACCCUGGUAGUCCACGCCGUAAACGAUGCUAACUCGUUUUUGGGUCUUUAAGAUUCAGAGACUAAGCGAAAGUGAUAAGUUAGCCACCUGGGGAGUACGUUCGCAAGAAUGAAACUCAAAGGAAUUGACGGGGGCCCGCACAAGCGGUGGAUUAUGUGGUUUAAUUCGAUGAUACGCGAGGAACCUUACCAAGGCUUAAAUGGGAAUUGAUGGGUUUAGAAAUAGACCGUCCUUCGGGCAAUUUUCAAGGUGCUGCAUGGUUGUCGUCAGCUCGUGCCGUGAGGUGUUAGGUUAAGUCCUGCAACGAGCGCAACCCCUGUCACUAGUUGCCAUCAUUCAGUUGGGGACUCUAGUGAGACUGCCUACGCAAGUAGAGAGGAAGGUGGGGAUGACGUCAAAUCAUCACGGCCCUUACGCCUUGGGCCACACACGUAAUACAAUGGCCGGUACAGAGGGCAGCUACACAGCGAUGUGAUGCAAAUCUCGAAAGCCGGUCUCAGUUCGGAUUGGAGUCUGCAACUCGACUCUAUGAAGCUGGAAUCGCUAGUAAUCGCGCAUCAGCCAUGGCGCGGUGAAU
rnacentral:rRNA from 1 species